UCUCUAACGAACGAAAUCUGCACCAUACGCUCAGGCUUCUCAUUCGACCACGUCACUAGCAAUUCUCAUCCAUUGGAUUUUGAUCGAACGGUCCACGUCACUAGCAGCAGCCGCACAGCAGCUGAACGGGGGUGUCUUGUGUCUAGAUACUUCAUCCCGAGCUGCUGAGCUGGACUGGACUCGUUGCUGCCGCCUUCUUCCGACCAUAGCCGCCUUCCCCUCGCCUCCCGCGGCUGUCGAGGUGCAAGAGGAAGCUCUCCCCGAUCCACUUCAACCAGCACCAUCGAGCUUCCCACCUUGUCGCUCGCGGUGGCACUGCUUUCACCAAACUGGCUAACCCUCCUCCGCACCCGUCCUCCAUCCCUCCAGCAGUCACCGAUCAACUUUGCUAUGCCUCCAUCCUCAAGCGCCGUCAGCCUCUUCCGCGAUUGUUGUUUGAUGUCCACACUCCUCACACAGCUUGCGAGCCGCGGUGUCUACGCCGGCACCGUGCAAGAUCCGGCGACAAAGAAGGCAAGUGGCACCAGUGCUGUGCAGCUCCCCGGCACCCCCCCCCCCCCCGUGGAACCUCCUGAACCUCCAGAGCACGCCGGGUAGAGCUCAUAAAGACGUAGGGCCAUAGGGGGCAUCGACAGACUAUGCACAGCAACUGCUCGAGGAAAUGCCUCCAAGGUAAGUGCUCAUUAAGUAGCUUGUGUUUUCAUGACUAGAACUUGCAGAGCCCAUUUAGCAUGAAACAUGGAAAUGUGACUCUGAUUCAAAGGAGUAUGAUACAAGUUUUCUCACAGUAUUAAGAUUUCCUUUGCGACAACAUUUCUUCGUGAAAGUACAAAUAUAAUUUUCGUUGUCCUAAUGCUUCAGUGCAUAGUUUCUCCAGAUAUAGUUGUUUGCAAGCCCACCUGGUAUGAAAUUAUUUUGGAUAUAUAAUGCCAUUGAUUAUUGCUAUGAGAAUGAGAUUCAUUUUUUAUCUACUAAAUCAUCAACAAGUUACAGAAAUCAACGGGGAUCAGAUAUAGCCUGAUUGCAAUAUCCAAGACAUUCCUGACGCCAUGAAAGGCUAUUCAUUCUCAAGUCUUGGUUUUGACAUAGGAAAUAGAGGUUGAACGGCAACAAAGUUUCUCGAUUGAAAUUCUAAAGUGGGAAUUGGAGUACUUUCACAGAAAUAGGAAUACCCAUGAUUUUGUGGAUGGUUCAUCCCUAUGACAGCUCCGUAUGUAAAUGUUGCAUUAGCAUUUGGUGCCCUUUUAGAAGAUUGUAAUAUCUCUUGUCUAAAGUCAAAAUUUGAUAUGCAUGCUGGUUUUGUAGUAAUGUUUCUUCCUUCAAAAGUUUUGGGAUACUGUUAACAUGUU